rnacentral:rRNA from 1 species
GGCGGCGUGCCUAACACAUGCAAGUCAAGGACGUAGCAAUACGGACUGGCGCACGGGUGCGGAACACGUAGGUAAUCUGCCCUCCAGGGGAGAACAACUCGUCGAAAGACGAGCUAAAACUCCGUAACGUCUUACCAUGGCAUCAUGGAAAGACCAAAUUUUCUGGGGGAUGAGCCUGCGCCUGAUUAGCUAGUUGGUAGUGUAAUGGACUACCAAGGCUACGAUCAGUAGCUGGUCUGAGAGGAUGAUCAGCCACAUUGGGACUGAGACACGGCCCAGACUCCUACGGGAGGCAGCAGUGAGGAAUAUUGCUCAAUGGACGAAAGUCUGAAGCAGCAACGCCGCGUGAGGGAUGAAGGUGCUCUGCAUCGUAAACCUCUGUAGUCGGGGAAAAAUGGCGGGUUACUACCCGUUUGAUGGUACCCGAAAAGUAAGGAUCGGCUAACUACGUGCCAGCAGCCGCGGUAAUACGUAGGAUCCAAGCGUUGUCCGGAUUUACUGGGUGU